rnacentral:lncRNA from 1 species
UCUGAGGCUCAUCCCAGGGCUCUGCUGUUCUGUAUGUGAGCACAUGAAUUGGGUUCCUUAAGAGUUACAACAGAAAACAGGAGAUGUACUUUAGAACUGCCUCUGACAGACUCCAGCUGCUAAGGGGUCUGUAGGACAAAACUAGAUCUAAUCUUAAAUAAAGCCCCUGGAGUGUGCAUAGCUCAGAAGUUGGAUCCUCAGUACCAGCUGUUUAGUUUUCCAAAUCCUUUCCAAUUCCAUGGUGCUGCUUCCUAACGCAGGCAUGAACAUAUCUGUACCAUAGACAUGAUCUGAUUCUGCUCAGCGUGACCCCGGCACUGUCUGAGUGACACUAAGGGCAGCCAAACCCAGGGAAAAGUGACAAAAAGACAUGUAUAACACUUCAGCGCUUGGCAACUACUGCUGUUCUUCAGGUGUCAUUUGAUGCUUGGCCUCCACAGUAUUCACAGCACAUAAAGUCAGUUAUGCAAAAAUAGAAGACUGAGGAAAAGCAAGUAGAAUCCAUUUUAAAUGUGAUGCAAAUUUUAUUACAAUGGCCUUGAAGAACAGCCUGCUGUUUACUUUGGAGAAAUUAUGAAUUAAAUAUGGCCUUGGUAUAGUAUAAACCAUAUUUUAACUGAGGAAGGCAGCCCAACAACACAGUAAGGAAUCUUCUUAUGUGCACCAGCUUGAUACUCUGUAAAGUGCAAUUUGCAAUUCCAGAAUAAAAGAAUCGUAGGCAGUCA